UUACAAUAGGUUAUUGAUGUCCAAGUUCAAAGGCUCUAGGAGGUACAGUUCAUGACUUUUUGAAGGAGGUGAGCUUUCAGUAUGACCUCAUAUUUUCUGUUUCAAGACUGCAGCUACAAUGGAGCAAAUGAUCAUAAUGGAGCCCACCAGGAUGCUUGAGAUGCUGAAGCCCAAGGCCAGUCUGGAAUUUAUCUGUGCCUUCCUCUGAUUUCCAUGAAAGUUGGCUUCCCGGCUCCCCUGGUCUUUGGAGAUGGAAAGGAAAUGUGCCUUCAUGAUGUCUGCUCUGGGAGACCACUGGGGAUGGGACCAAAGCCAUGGCUGAGAGCUACAACCUUCUACCUUCAGUCCAUGAAGCCCUAGGAUGGAAGAGAUGCAGAGGGUGGGGACUUUAGGAUCAAAAAUAUCAUCUUCUUCUUCAGUCUGGAUCCUGUAAUGAAGAUGACCUGGAGCUGGCUGAAAACAGACUGAGCCACUGAGACUUAGGAGUCAUUUGUUCUUGGAGCAUAAAUUA
rnacentral:lncRNA from 1 species